UACUGAUGCUUUACACCACAACACUGUUGAAUUCUCCAAUCUGAUUGGUCAGAAGGCGUUGGAGACAUUUCUGUAACAGCAAGAUUCUGAUUCCAGCUGCAAGGGAAAUUACAGCUUUAUAGUGAUGUGCUCGUUCUCGUUUCUAUAGUAACAGCUCAUUGACAGGGUCUAGUAUGGCGUACGCAAUACAUAUUCUAAGCUUAAUCGUAAACAUAUUAUAAACAUGUCACUUAAAGAAAAAGACGUAUGAUCAUUGUGAUCUAGUUAAGAUUUAUAAGUUAUCUAUUUAUGGAAGUUUUAUGGAAGUAGUCUCCAGUGUCACGGCAGAGAGGACAUUGCACUUUCCAGUUUCUCAGUAACAUUGCAAGUCUUAUUAAUUUCAAGAGUUAGGGUGGGGAAAGAGAGGCUUGUGAGGGAACUAUUGUUUUAUUUUAAUGUUAUAAAGUAAGAGAUCAUAAUGAGAACUAACUCUCUUUUCCAGGACAUUCCAAAUUGUUCUUUGGCUAUGCCCCAUGUUUGUGCAAUGGUUCAGACCGGUUUUUCCUCUUUUCGCAGCUUCAAAAUGGCUUGCUUUUCUCCCAUAGACAGCUCUCUGGUCUUCAUGUCGGUUUAUUCUUUUUAACAACAAAUGCUGUCUCCACAGGUGAAACCCAGGGCUCAAACCAAGAGAAGACAUUCAGAGCUAUUCAUUCUUUAAAGUCCAUUUAACGAGUUUCCUUCUGCUUCUGAGUUCAAAGAGCUUUUUCUCAUCCCCAUCCUGGAUCGCCCCUACAGCUGCCUGUUUGGUACAUUCCUCUACAGCAGUGAGCAGGAGAGAAUGGAAAAGGAAGUACAGGCUAGAACGGUCACUGUGGUCCUACAUUAACAGUCAGCCGGAGGACUUCACUAACCCGUUCUAUGUGGACUGUAAAAACCAGGUGCUGUAUCCACUGGCCAGUCUCACACAUCUGGAGCUCUGGGUGGGUUAUUAUGUGUGCUGGAACCCACGCAUGAGACCACAGAUGCCGCUCCAUCAGAAUCUGAGAGAGUUAUUGUUUUUGCGUGAAGAACGUGGAGGAGCUCCAGAGAGAGGCCACGUCAUCCUGCUCCAUCUCCUCAUCCUCAGAGCAUACUUCUCCCUCCUCACAUAGUGCAUAAACGGCCCUUUCUCUGUCUCUCUGUAAGUAGAUGACCAUCCUGACCUCUGAGGCUUCAUCACUCAUCACCAUGGUAACUGUCUUGUCCACCCCCAGUAAAAGGCUGCAUACUCAUACUGUGCUGUGAAAAAGCGUUUGCUUCCAUCUGCUUUUUAGCAAGUGCACACUUCCAUCCAUCCAUCCUACACACGGUUGUGGGGAGCCUGGAGUCUAUCCCAGGGAACUCGGGGCACAAGGCAGGGGACACCCUGGACAUGGUGCCAACCCAUCACAGGGCACAAUCACUCGUGCACACACACACUGGACAAUUUUGGAGAUGCCAGUCCACCUACAACGGAUGUCUUUGGACUGGGGGAGGAAACCCCUGAAGCACAUUUGCAGGGACAUCGAGGAAAUUUAGUGAAACCCAGUCAGUGAUCUUAUUGGAUAAUUAGUCUCUAAUGAUUUGACCUUGUUUGUUACGCUGCUAAAUAUUUUCCAAAGGUAUGGAAGUGAUGUUAAGUCAGCAGACGUAUUGUGUGGGUUUGUGUUCUCUCUCCCUCCCCCUGUUUUUUUCUCACAGGUCGCUCUGACCUAAUUCGUUGUGCUGACGUGCUGCACGGGGAUUGGAGAGGAGAAGAUUGUCCCUCUUUUAAAAAGGAGGACGAACAAUAUGUUGGGAGGAAUGCGGAUGUGUGGGGUGUCUGUGUCUGCGUGUGUACGACUGAGUAGCGAAUGUUUUUCCUGGUGUUUGAGUGAAAUCGCUUGCUUGUUCUGUUGUGUACGAGUGAAAGAAGUGAGUGGAAGUAUAUUGUGUUGUCCCAUUCCCCUGGUUUGUCUUGUGUUGUGGCUGAGUGUACGCCUGAAUUGUAAAUACAUCUUUCAUUGUAAAUAUUUCUCUUCUUACUGUCAUGAAAGCUGUAGGGGUUGUGUGGCGUUUAUUUUUGGGCUCUACCUUUUGUUCACUGUUUUUGCCUCAGUUAGGGAGUCAGGUUAGACUCUAUUUUCUUUUGACAUACCUUUUUUGUUAGGUUAGUUAAACUGAUACAGGGAAGAUAUUGACUGUUUUGUUUAUUACAUUGGCCUUGCCAGCCCUGAAGAGUGGUGCUUUCCGAGUGAUUGUUUGUUUUGCAUUAUUUUUCUUGUGAUCAUUAAAUUUGUAAGAUUUGAAAGACGUGAGGUAAUGAGAUAAUGAGGUGUCAACCUCAUUAUUUCUGAGUCUGAUUUGUUUUUGUUUAUACUUUUUUUAUGUUACACCUCGACCCUAGACUGGGGUCGUAACAGUGAGUCAAAAAUAACUUCCGUUUCCUUUUAUGGACUUUUGUGGGCAUUGCUACAUGGAAAUGAGCUGUGUCAGGAACACGGUUUGCACUUUAGAGGUGAACAACACGCGUACACAAGUACGAAGAACAUCGGCGUUUCCGAAACUUUUAUAAAUCCGGCAGAAACGUUUAGUUUGGUUUGACUUGGGCAAACAUUUACACACAACUUUACUAAAAGAAACUUGCUCAGAGAUGUUCAAUCGGGUUCAAGUCUGGGCUCUGGCUGGGCCACUCAAGGACAUUCACAGAGUUGUCCUGUAGAUAGAUAGAUAGACAGAUAAUUUUAUUGGUCCUCAAAAAGAGGAAAUUUGUUUCCACAGUGGGUGCGUACAAAAACAUAACGUCAUACGUAUAGACCAACAUAAACAAUCACAGCCAUAGAGAGGAAAAGGGGACGAGGAGAAAAACAUCAGGAUCAUCAUACAACAAUGCAUCUGACAUCACAAUGGCUGUGUACCUAUGUGUUUAAUGCUCGUAUAGCCAUAUUAACAAAACUCCUACCAUAGCCAGCCUUUCUGCACACGGGUAGUCUAUACCUGCGGCCAGAUGGAAGGAGAUUGAAAUAUUGAUAAAGUGGGUGGUUUGGGUCAUUCAAAAUUUUAUGUGCCUUCUGGAGCGUAAAUGAAUUGACACAGUCCGAUAAAUUAGGGAUGGGAAUACCAAUAAUUUUCUUUGCUAAAUUAGUUAUUUUCAAAAGGUUGUUCUUAUUAGUUACUGUUAGCAUAUGGAAAAAACAAAUGGCACCAUAUAUAAGAACCGGUUCAAUAAUACUUCGGUACAGAAGAAGAAGCAGACUAGGCUGAACAGACAGAUAUUUAAGUUUAUGGAUAACUGUGAGUCUCUGACAACAUUUGUAAAUACCUAGAAUGUGCUGAUUGAAGCUGAGAUGUUUAUCCAAUGUAAUGCCCAGAUAUCUGAAAUGCUCCACACUUUCAACCAUCUCUCGGUUAAUGGUAAAACCGGAAGGAUGGAUCUACCACGAUUUCUCCAUGAUGUUUGGUGACAAAGUGUCUCAGAAGUUCCUGGCAAAGUGGUCAAUAUUCUUCAAGCCAAACAUCAUUGCAGACUGCAAGACUCUUAAGAGUAUGGGCGAGCUGCUGUCAGGAACUGAACCUGAAUCUGAGGACUACAAUGGAUGGGACAGCGAUAUGUCCUCAAUCCUUUUGCAGCUGCAUCUGCUCCCUCUAACCUCAAGAGGCCAGAAAAAAAUAUCCAAGAUCAGUUCAGCUCAAGCAAUCAGCCAUCUUGUGAGCUACCUUAAGGAAGGAGCCAGUGUGAAUACCUUCAUUGAGAGUGCUGACACAAGACAACCAUUUCUCCUCUGCAUCGGUGAGCGAAAGAAGGAUAUCCCAAAGUUCUACGUUAUUAUCGACCAAAAGGCGAUCCCAUGUAAGGCGCACACAUCAGUGGCAGCUUUUGAUGAACUGUUCAAAGCUCACUAUGUCUUCAGUUUCUCAUACGAUGAAGCUCUUUGUGAUUUCUACACAUUUAUCCAAACCACCAUCUAUAACAUCGAUGUCGGAAGAGCAAAGCAGAGCCCGCGUGUUAAAGAACUUCGAGCAUGAUUGCUGCAGCGAGAUUAACUGCCUUGAAGAUGUUCACAUGUUUUGAAUGUAAAGCACACCUCAGAACUUGUUUGGUUCUUCGUCAACAUUUAAAAUUUCAACAUGUUUAUAUCCUAGCAAAAAGUUACAUUUAAAAUGUGGAGAGCCAGGUCGCCUGUUAUCAUUUUGUACAUAUAGUGGCUUCUGAAAACACCUCAGCAAGGUACAUAGUCACACUAUGGAUCAGGAGAUUGAUACUAAUCAGGAUCUUUCCACUCAGGGAGAAUAUGAGGCAGAAUGUUCAAAUGAUCGCCCAAGUUUACAAAGUUGGAGUUUACAAAGACAUUAAUGAUGGGUCGUGUUUCCAAAACCAUGCACUGUUCUCACAGCAAAAGCACGCUUUUCAGAUUCUACUCUAUCACAACGAUUUUGAAACUGCUAACCCUCUAGGUUCCAAGAGGGGGAUCCACAAACUUGAAUCUAUUUUACUCUAAAAAAUCUUCCACCCAAGUGUAACUCUGUACUGAUUAAUGUACAUCUUGCAGCUUGAUUCUACACGGAAGAUCUUAAGACAUAUGGUUUUGAUGUGAUACUAAAGCCCCUUAUUGAUGACCUGAAAAUCUUAGAAACCGAAGGCAUACAGCUUCCUUGUUUUGAACCACCAUUGUUUGGCCCAGUAAUUCAAGUAACAGGAGAUAAUUUGGCUUUAAAUGGCUUGCUGGGAAUCUUACAGUGCAACUAAUUUCUGUAGGCUUUGUUUAAUUAGUAAGGAAGAAGUUCAAUCUAUAUUUUCUGAAGAUCAUUCUGGGUUAAUUUUUCGUUCCAAAGAGGUUCAUACUGAACAUUGUAAGGCACUAAAUGAAAAUCAUGAACUACGGUCAAUAUAUGGUGUCAAAAAGUCAUGUGCGCUCAAUUCAUUAGAGUAUUUCCAUUGUACUGAUAACUAUGCUGUUGACAUCAUGCAUGAUCUGCUAGAGGGUGUGGUACAGUAUGAACUUAAACUGGUUUUUGAGUACCUUGUUAAACAGGGUGCACAGCUUUAAUUAUGGUUACACAGACCGUAAAAACAAACCAAGUGGGUUAAAAAUGGAUGAUAAGUGCAAACACCUGGGUUUGAAUGCCAUACAGUCAUGGUGUCUUCUGCACAACACUCCACUGAUAUUUGGUGGUCAUUGAAAGGAAUAACAAUCACUGGAACUUUCUCCUACUUUUGAUGCAGAUUGUCAAUAUAGUGUUCUCCUACACCAUAACUGAUGGAAUGAUAUGUUACUUAAAACAUCUGAUCUGUGAUCACCAUACUCUAUUCAAAGAAUUGAUUCCUGACAAGACGUCGAUUCCCAAGCACCACUUGAUGAUGCACUAUCUGAGAUGCAUAAAAAAAAAUUGGCCCUCUUAUCCAUAUGUGGUGAAUGUGAUUUGAAGCUAAGCACCAUAUUUUCAAAAGAUGUGACAAAAAUUUC